CGUAACAAGGUCUCCGUAGGUGAACCUG
rnacentral:rRNA from 1 species